UAUUAAUUUAAAGAUCUGUCUACAUUUUGGUGAUGAUUCAAACUUUUCUUUUAGAGUUAUUGAGUUUUUUUGUAAAAAAAAGGUGGGUUUCACAUGUUGCGCUGUAUCUCAAAAACAAUUUAUGAUUAUUGCUUAAAACUUUACACAAUUCUUAGUUAUAUUAAUCUUAAAAUCUGUAUACUUUUUGGUGAUGAUUCUAAAUUUUAUUGUAGAGUUAUUGAGUUUUUUUGUAAAAAAAAAAGGGGGGAGUUUCACAUGUCGCACUGUAUCUCAGAAACUGUUCAUGAUUAUUGCAUAAACUUCAAACACAAGACGACGGGCGUAUCAUGCGCUCAUGGUGAGGCUGUUUAUUUAAUUGUUUAGUCCUUUUGAUCUAAUUUCUUAAAGAUAUGUUUUAACUAAUUUUGACAAAUACAUGACUAUUUAAAUUUAUGUCUUUUUUCUUCUCACAACACUCACUUAAAUGAGUUU
rnacentral:lncRNA from 1 species